GAGAGUCACUGUAAUCUCUUCUUAUGCACUCUGGACAUGCGUUGGUAGUGCCCAAGUCUCAGGGCUCUAUUGUCCCUCCAUCAGGUCCCAUUGGCCUGGUACUCAGGGCUCUAUUGUCCCUCCAUCAGGUCCCAUUGACCUGGUACUCAGAGCUCUAUUGUCCCUCCAUCAGGUCCCAUUGGCCUGGUACUCAGGGCUCUAUUGUCCCUCCAUCAGGUCCCAUUGGCCUGGUACUCAGAGCUCUAUUGUCCCUCCAUCAGGUCCUAAUGGCCUGGUUCUCAGGGCUCUAUUGUCCCUCCAUCAGGUCCCAUUGGCCUGGUACUCAGAGCUCUAUUGUCCCUCCAUCAGGUCCUAAUGGCCUGGUUCUCAGGGCUCUAUUGUCCCUCCAUCAGGUCCCAUUGGCCUGGUACUCAGAGCUCUAUUGUCCCUCCAUCAGGUCCUAAUGGCCUGGUUCUCAGGGCUCUA